rnacentral:rRNA from 1 species
UACGUAGGGGGCUAGAGUUGUCCGGAUUUACUGGGUGUAAAGGGUGCUCAGGUGGACUUGUAAGUCAGAGGUGAAAUUCCAAAGCUUAACUUUGGAGCUGCCUUUGAUACUGUGAGUCUGGAGUUUGAGAGAGGGUAAUGGAAUAUCUGGUGUAGCAGUGAAAUGCGUAGAUAUCAGAUAGAACACCAAUGGCGAAGGCAGUUACCUGGCUCAAAACUGACGCUAAAGCACGAAAGUGUGGGGAGCAAACAGG